rnacentral:rRNA from 1 species
UGGGGAAUUUUGGACAAUGGGCGCAAGCCUGAUCCAGCAAUGCCGCGUGCAGGAUGAAGGCCUUCGGGUUGUAAACUGCUUCUGUACGGAACGAAAAAGCUCUCUCUAAUACAGGGGGUGAAUGACGGUACCGUAAGAAUAAGCACCGGCUAACUACGUGCCAGCAGCCGCGGUAAUACGUAGGGUGCGAGCGUUAAUCGGAAUUACUGGGCGUAAAGCGUGCGCAGGCGGUUUUGUAAGACAGAUGUGAAAUCCCCGGGCUUAACCUGGGAACUGCGUUUGUGACUGCAAGGCUGGAGUACGGCAGAGGGGGGUGGAAUUCCACGUGUAGCAGUGAAAUGCGUAGAGAUGUGGAGGAACACCGAUGGCGAAGGCAGCCCCCUGGGCCUGUACUGACGCUCAUGCACGAAAGCGUGGGGAGCAAACA